rnacentral:rRNA from 1 species
GAGUUUGAUCUUGGCUCAGAACGAACGCUGGCGGCAUGCCUAACACAUGCAAGUCGAACGAGACCUUCGGGUCUAGUGGCGCACGGGUGCGUAACGCGUGGGAAUCUGCCCUUCGGUUCGGAAUAACAGUUAGAAAUGACUGCUAAUACCGGAUGAUGACGUAAGUCCAAAGAUUUAUCGCCGAGGGAUGAGCCCGCGUAGGAUUAGGUAGUUGGUGGGGUAAUGGCCCACCAAGCCGACGAUCCUUAGCUGGUCUGAGAGGAUGAUCAGCCACACUGGGACUGAGACACGGCCCAGACUCCUACGGGAGGCAGCAGGUGGGGAAUAUUGGACAAGUGGGCGAAAGCCUGAUCCAGCAAUGCCGCGUGAGUGAUGAAGGCCUUAGGUUGUAAAGCUCUUUUACCAGGGAUGAUAAUGACAGUACCUGGAGAAUAAGCUCCGGCUAACUCCGUGCCAGCCGCCG